CCUACGGGGGGCAGCAGUGAGGAAUAUUGGUCAAUGGCCGGAAGGCUGAACCAGCCAUGCUGCGUGAAGGUCAGUGCCCUAUGGGCGUUAAACUUCUUUUGUGCGGGAGCAAUAAUGGUCACGUGUGGCCAGACGAGAGUACCGUACGAAUAAGCAUCGGCUAACUCCGUGCCCGCAGCCGCCGGAAUACGGGGGAUGACAGGGUUAUCCGGAUUUUUUGGGUUUAAAGGGUUCGUAGGCUGGGAGGUAAGUCAGCGGGGAAAUGCCCCCGGUCAACGGGGUGAAGUGCCAUUGAUACUGCCUUGCUGGAUGGCGGAUGCCGUGGGAGGAAUGUGUGGUGUAGCGGUGAAAUGCAUAGAUAUCACACAGAACACCGAUUGCGAAGGCAUCUCACGAAUCCGCGAUUGACGCUGAUGCACGAAAGCGUGGGUAUCAAACAGGAUUAGAUACCCGAGUAGUC
rnacentral:rRNA from 1 species